rnacentral:rRNA from 1 species
GCCUUGCCAGCCCGCUCAGAAACUUAAAUGAAUUGACGGGGGCCCGCACAAGCGGAGGAGCAUGUGGUUUAAUUCGAUGAUACGCGAGAACCUUACCUGGGCUCGAACGUAAGAUGACUGUAGGUGAAAGCUUACAUCUCUUCGGAGCAUUUUACGAGGUGCUGCAUGGUUGUCGUCAGCUCGUGCCGUGAGGUGUCGGGUUAAGUCCCAUAACGAGCGCAACCCCUACCUUUAGUUGCCAUCAGGUAAUGCUGGGGACUCUAAAGGAACUGCCUACGCAAGUAGUGAGGAAGGCGGGGAUGACGUCAAAUCAGCACGGCCCUUACGUCCAGGGCUACACACGUGCUACAAUGGCCGAUACAAAGGGUUGCCAAGCCGCGAGGUGGAGCUAAUCCCAUAAAACCGAUCGUAGUCCGGAUCGCAGUCUGCAACUCGACUGCGUGAAGUCGGAAUCGCUAGUAAUCGUGAAUCAGAAUGUCACGGUGAAUACGUUCCCGGGCCUU